UAAUCUCGGGGUCGUGGGUUCGAAUCCCUCCAUCGGCUUUUUUUUGGGGAGAUACUCAAGUUUGGUUAACGAGG
rnacentral:tRNA from 1 species